CUACUACUCUGCCAUGGUGGAUAAAAUGAAGAAGAACAAAGGAGUCUGAAAGCUCAAAAUUCAGAAGCAAAUUUUCCACUGUACAAUAAGUUCUAAACACCAGGACAACCCCUUUUAUAAGCUUGAGAAUUGGUAGAACAAACCUAUUUAUGGAAUCCUCAUCCAUGGGAUCCAAUGAGUCCAGCCACACUCUUCUCCCCACUUCCUCCAUCCAUCUCAGUGGCAGCACGUCCUGAAGCUCUGCUGGAGGAAGGAGA